UAGGGAAUAUUGGACAAUGGGGGGAACCCUGAUCCAGCCAUGCCGCGUGGAGGAAGACUGCCCUCUGGGUUGUAAACUCCUUUUAUAUGGGAAGAACCGUCCUCAUUGAUGAGUGACCUGACGGUACCAUAGGAAUAAGCACCGGCUAACUCCGUGCCAGCAGCCGCGGUAAUACGGAGGGUGCAAGCGUUAUCCGGAUUCACUGGGUUUAAAGGGUGCGUAGGCGGAUAUGUAAGUCAGUGGUGAAAUCAACGGGCUCAACCUGUUAACUGCCAUUGAUACUGUGUAUCUUGAAUAUGAGAGAGGUAGGCGGAAUGUUGCAUGUAGCGUUGAAAUGCUUAGAUAUGCUACGGAACACCGAUUGCGAAGGCAGCUUACUAUUUCGUAAUUGACGCUGAGGCACGAAAGCGUGGGUAGCGAA
rnacentral:rRNA from 1 species